CGACCGGCGCACGGAUGCGUAACGCGUAUGCAACCUACCUGUAACAGGGGGAUAACACUGAGAAAUCGGUACUAAUACCGCAUAACACUAUGAGAGGCAUCUCUUGUGGUUGAAAGUUUCGGCGGUUACAGAUGGGCAUGCGUUGUAUUAGCUGGUUGGUAAGGUAACGGCUUACCAAGGCGACGAUACAUAGGGGGACUGAGAGGUUAACCCCCCCACAUUGGUACUGAGACACGGACCAAACUCCUACGGAAGGCAGCAG
rnacentral:rRNA from 1 species